AUGCCCUAAUUGUGGUUUAAAACAAACAUUGGUAUGUAUCUGUAAUUAAGUAUGUUUUGUAUAGCUUUCUGUUUAAAUUAUGAUCAGUUUCCAGUUAGUCAAGGUAUAGAUUUCUGCUUAUAAAGACUGCUGCCCAUAUCUUAAUCUGGACUAUAAGAUGUUGACUUCCUAGUAAAACAGUCCAUUAGUUAAAAGUAUUUUCUCAGUAUUAGCAAUGAACAUCAAGUCAUAGUAACUUGACUAAUUUGUCCUCUAGAACAUUCACUGAAUAUAGCAAAUAUGUAGACAAAACCUUUGUACAUGAGGGAAAAAAACCAUUGUUGGUAACAUGGUCCUGCAUAACAGGAAGCAAUCAAGAGACCAGUUGGACCUUUGUUUGACAAUACUGAAAUGGGGAAAGGAGUUAAUGGCCCUUUGAUUUGAAGUUGCAAAUAUAACACUGACAGCAACAGUUGUACAGAAAAUGGCAUAAAAGCCAGCUAAAGUUUUUCUAGGAUUCAGUAAUCAGAGGUAGAGACCUAAUGAGUAGAUUAUGACAGGUCCUACUUUACUGCAAAUUUCACCUCCAAGUUACUGAAGUGUUUUAAGUGAUUACAGAGCUUUUAAGCCUUGAAACCAGCAAUGAUUGAAGAAAUUAUUGACCACUGGCAUAUCCUAUGAAGGACUAGCUAGUUGUAGAAAAUUUGGCUCCUCCUUAAAUGCAUUGAAUCAUUGCGCAUCUAAGGACAGAGUAUGAGCUGCCACAGAUAUAAGGGACUCUUCGUUCCUCCUUACAUAUUAAACACAUCUUCAAGAAUUUUAAUUUUCCCUAAAGACAAGUUUAAUCUGAUACUUGGAGUGGAAACAUGAGUUUUAUCUUGCAAGUACAAAUCAAAUUAGACCACAAGAAUGUUUUCCUUUCCUACUUGCAUUCAGUUCCAGAAAACCAGUAACUGUGAAUGUUCACUAAGCUUCUCUGUUCAUGAAGGUGUGAAGGAAUUCUGUUUCAGAACAUCUGUAUCUUAUUAGAGAUGGAUUUACAUCAUCAAACCUACCUUGUUUACACAAUACAAUCAUUUAAAACAGUCAGAGUGUUUAUUUCUAGCAUCUGUGCAGGCAGCCAUACUAGUGCCUGAAUUGUACCUAUCAAAUACUGACCCUUCAGCCUUGCAUUAACUCUAAAGCCAUAAUCUUUCAGUUUGGUUGAGUGAGUAAACAUUUUGCAGGUCUAUUAGAUAACAGAUAGUGCAAUCUACUUGACUAUGUUCUGUUAUGCUAAUUAGUGUAGGGUAGAGUGGAGUGUUCCUAAUAACAAAGCUGAAGUCCACUCUUUGGUAGGUCUGGUAAUUCUUUGUUGCAGUGUUUCCAGUUGCUCACUUCCAGUGCUUAGCAGCUAUUUCAGCUGACCUCUUUUCCUGAAAUCCACUGAAAACACUGAAAUCCAAAAACUAUAAGGCCUGCUAAGCUUCUGGUGUAACUUAAUAGAGCUUCCAGGUGAAAUGCGAUGUCACAAGAGGAUAUCUCAAGCCAUAAUGUCUUUGAUCUGUUGAGAAGAUUCCGUCACUGGCACAUUUCCACAUCAAACUUUUUCAAUACAACAACUGGUUCCCUGAAAAUACCUGUCCUGGUUAAAUAUAAACA